rnacentral:rRNA from 1 species
UACGUAGGGGGCAAGCGUUGUCCGGAUUUAUUGGGCGUAAAGAGCUCGUAGGCGGUUUGGCAAGUCGGGUGUGAAAACUCCGGGCUCAACUCGGAGACGCCACUCGAUACUGCCAUGACUCGAGUCCGGUAGGGGAGUGCGGAAUUCCUGGUGUAGCGGUGAAAUGCGCAGAUAUCAGGAGGAACACCGGUGGCGAAGGCGGCACUCUGGGCCGGUACUGACGCUGAGGAGCGAAAGCGUGGGGAGCGAACAGG